CCUACGGGUGGCUGCAGUGGGGAAUAUUGGACAAUGGGGGCAACCCUGAUCCAGCCAUGCCGCGUGUGUGAAGAAGGCCCUCGGGUUGUAAAGCACUUUCAGUGAGGAAGAACGCCUGGUGGUUAAUACCCAUCAGGAAAGACAUCACUCACAGAAGAAGCACCGGCUAACUCCGUGCCAGCAGCCGCGGUAAUACGGAGGGUGCGAGCGUUAAUCGGAAUUACUGGGCGUAAAGCGCGCGUAGGUGGCUUGAUAAGCCGGUUGUGAAAGCCCCGGGCUCAACCUGGGAACGGCAUCCGGAACUGUCAAGCUAGAGUGCAGGAGAGGAAGGUAGAAUUCCCGGUGUAGCGGUGAAAUGCGUAGAGAUCGGGAGGAAUACCCGUGGCGAAGGCGGCCUUCUGGACUGACACUGACACUGAGGUGCGAAAGCGUGGGUAGCAAACAGGAUUAGAUACCCCAGUAGUC
rnacentral:rRNA from 1 species